CCUACGGGGGGCAGCAGUCGAGAAUCAUUCACAAUGGGGGAAACCCUGAUGGGGCGACGCCGCGUGGGGGAAUGAAGGUCUUCGGAUUGUAAACCCCUGUCAUGUGGGAGCAAAUUAAAAAGAUAGUACCACAAGAGGAAGAGACGGCUAACUCUGUGCCAGCAGCCGCGGUAAUACAGAGGUCUCAAGCGUUGUUCGGAAUCACUGGGCGUAAAGCGUGCGUAGGCUGUUUCGUAAGUCGUGUGUGAAAGGCGCGGGCUCAACCCGCGGACGGCACAUGAUACUGCGAGACUAGAGUAAUGGAGGGGGAACCGGAAUUCUCGGUGUAGCAGUGAAAUGCGUAGAUAUCGAGAGGAACACUCGUGGCGAAGGCGGGUUCCUGGACAUUAACUGACGCUGAGGCACGAAGGCCAGGGGAGCGAAAAGGAUUAGAUACCCGGGUAGUC
rnacentral:rRNA from 1 species